GAAGGAAACAUUGGCUGGUGCUCCGGUAGAAUUCUUCAUGGCAUGAGGUGGCAGUGGCUAUGGGGUCAAGCUCCUCUGCCUUUGGAAAGGGAAGAAGAGUGGGAAGGACUGCGUCUUAUGGUUUCAGUGCCAACUUAGCCACAAUACCAUAGAACACCAGGUAGGCUUCUAAGGUUUUUGAUACUCCCAAAGGUAAACAAUACAGAAAGAAUCCUUUAAAUGCAGCAAGACAGAGGAAACAACGUACAAGGGAGCUCUGGCUGUUCCGCUAUGGAGUAGCCAUUCUUUUAUUUCUUUACUUUCUUAAUAAACUUGCUUUCACUUUAUGGAUUCACCUCAAAAUCUUUCUUGUGCAAGCUCCAAGAACCUUCUCUUGGGGUCUGGAUCGGGACCCCUUUCUAGUAACAUCUUCCUGGCGAACCAUGAAGGGAUGAUACUGAGGAGACCCCCGACCCAAAGGAAAUAGACUGCAGCAACAAUUGACUGACUUUGGGUAAGUGGUGGGGUAUCCAGUAAAGGAUGGGAUUGAGUUAGAGGCCCAAUUUAGGGGAGUUAGAGCCUCUCCUAGAAACAGAGAGGGUUAAAGCACUUUCUCUAGAGACAGAGAGGGUUAAAGGCCCCUCUUAAAAGGCAAUGACACUUGACCAAACUUGGGUUUGAGGCCCAACUUAGGAAGGUUACAGACCUUCCUAAGAUUUAGGGGGUUAGAGGAUCCUCUCAAUAAAGUCCCUGUCGGCUAAAAAAUUGAUUUGACACCAUGGGAUGUUAACUGUUACUCUCUUUGGAUUAAUCUGCCUUGCACUCUGCUGAUGGCUGUGACAGGAUUAGGCAGGUACAGGAUCAUGGGAUAAGGGGAGCUUUUUUUUCCCUAAAGGGGAAAACUUGAGAGCUAAUGGGAAUGCUGCAGAAGAUCCUUUGUGACCAACAAACAGCUGCCUGAACUUUUGAUUAAAUGUCACUGCAAUGGGUGGGUCUUUCUCUAGCCUCCCUGAGCUCUUCGACUUCCCCACCUUGCAGCAAGCAAUGCUUUUCUCUCUCUCUCUUCUUUCCCUUUAUUAUUUUUUCUGUUACUUGGGGUGACCAUCUUGCCCAGAGAACCACAUGUUGAAACUAUUUUAAUCCACUUUGAAUGGAUUAAAGGUGACAGAGCCCAUCAGGGGGCAAGUUUGAGCUUUGCCAGCUCAAUAUUUGUAUGGUUUGUCAUAUGUAUUUUUCUCUGGCUGAAUGGAAAAUAUUAAUUCAGGUCCCCCAUGCAACCAGUUGGGUGGCCACUUGCAAAAUUGAGAGGCUUUUGCCUGUGGUUCCAUGAAACAGAAAAAAAAAAUUCUUUUGUGUUGUGGCUUGGCCCCAAGGGCUUUGAGGUAGCAAGCAAAGCCCUAAAAAUUAUAUUGAGCAGUUAAAAGCCUAUGCAAGCUCAAAACUGACUGCUCUAGGCUCCUUCUGGGAAGAGCAAUAGAACUGUCCAGUGCUGUAGCUUAGUAGCUAAGGCUUAUUAGUUUCACCUGGGAGAAAGUUCAAAAGCCAGAAAUAUUGGCCAUUGGCCUGGCUUUACUUACACCUUAUGCAAAAAUUAACUCAAGAUGGAUUAAAGGCUUAAAAGUAAAACCCAAAACCAUAAAAACUCUAGAAGAAAACCUAGGCAAUACCAUUCAGGACAUAGGCAUGGGCAAAGACUUCAUGACUAAAACACCAAAAGUAGGAAGGAUAAAGUUAAAAUGUAGAGUUUUUAUUAGUUUUCUCUUUGCUUGCUUGUUUUUAUAUAAUUGUUAACUUGUCAUCAGUUUAAAAUAAUAUAUUAUGUUAUUUGCAAGCCUUAUGGUAACCUCAAAUCAAAAAUUAAACAUACAACAUAUAACAAAAAGAAGCUAGACAUUAAAGAACAGCGGUAGGGAAAAUCACUUUCACCAAAAGGAAGACAGGAAGGAAAGAAGGAGGGAAGAGAAGACAACAAAACACCAGUAAACAAGAAAAUGAAAGGAGUAAAUCAUUACUGAUCAAUAAUAACACUGAAUAUAAGUGGAUUAAACUCUCCAGUGAAAAGAAAUAGAGUGGC
rnacentral:lncRNA from 1 species